ACCCUACGGGGGGCAGCAGUCGGGAAUAUUGCGCAAUGGAGGAAACUCUGACGCAGUGACGCCGCGUAUAGGAAGAAGGUUUUCGGAUUGUAAACUAUUGUCGUGAGGGAAGAAGAUGACAGUACCUCAGGAGGAAGCUGGCUAACUAUGUGCCAGCAGCCGCGGUAAUACAUAUGGGGCAAGCGUGAUCCGGAAUUAUUGGGUGUAAAGGGUGCGUAGACAGAGAAACAAGUUGGUUGUGAAAU
rnacentral:rRNA from 1 species